rnacentral:piRNA from 1 species
UGGCGAUACUCUUUGCAAGUUGCUUCCUAC